AUACGUGCAUAUGCUUACCAGCAUUAACAACAAAAUUGGUUGGGCUUGACAUUUCGUCAAACACUUUGAGCACACGGAGCUUCCACUGCCCAUCGUGCCCACCACCAGCUCCCGGCGACCGUGGACGCGCCCGACUAGCCGCCGUGGCUGUGGCCGCGCCCGGCUCGCUGCGGUCGUGGACGAGCUUGAGCUGGCCGUCGUUGAGGAUCUUGCCGCGCCCGUCACCUCUCAAAGAGCCUCUGCGCCGGCCAUCUCAUCUUCGCUGCCUCCCCCCGCGCUCUCGUCGUUGUCGCUGGCGACAGCGGAAACCGUCGAGCCGCACAGCGCGUCCGCACCUCCCUCGACUCCCAAGAGCUCGAGCUCCUCCUCCAUAACUUGGCAGCAGAUCUGCUGAAUCUAACUUCCGUUUCAUGAUUUUUACAGAAAUGCAACCCCUAUUCCGCUCAGCUGUUCGACGCCGGGCCAAAGAUCCGGACGAUCCCGUUCCUGUGCAGCUCCGCCUCCUCUCUUGUGAUUUUCCUUUUGCUCUAUAUGUCCACGGCCACCGCGCCGUGGCAAUUUCUGGGUUUUUUGGGCUGCCAUGAUGGACACCGUUUGAGUAGAUCUAAGUAGCUUUGUAUUAAUGAAAACUGCACUUGGAAUUGUCUCUGCUUCACAGUUUUAUCUGUCGCGCUUGGCUUGGUUUUUUAUAUUUUGGCCUAGGAUGGAUUGAACAUAAUCAACUGCCUCCAAUUUGUUUUGUUCUAUUUGCAUGUGAAAUAGCACACUAACAUAUUCCAUAUUUCACCAAGCACAAUAUUCGGUGCUGACUGUUUUUACUUGUAUGGCUGUUAAAUUGUCCUGUCCACACUCCACAUUAAAACAAUUUCAUUGUAGUUGAAUUGAAAAUAAUCAUCUGUCUCCAAUUUGUAUUGGCCUACUAACAUGUGAAAAUAGCACACUACACAUAUUCUUUAUUUCAUUGAUAUCAAUACUCCGACCGUUUUUACUUGCGCGGCUGUGGACUCUAAAGUUUGAUCUUCUAAACAUUUUUAUCUCACUGCAAACCUAUUUCUGACUCUAAAUUCUGUUAUGUUCCAAAAGUUGUGUUUUUUUCUUAAAUAAAUAUGUCAUUAGUCUUAAUGGUUUGUGAUACCCCAAAACUCUUGAGUUUGUUAGUGUACUGUGUGAAGUAAAUAGGGUUAGUUGGACCUUGGAAAAUGGCGACAGGGGACUACUAGGCCAGGGAGUGGGUUCGUGUUACUCUAUCGCUGAAACUAACAGUGCUUGCUUAGAAUGAACUAUCUUUGUUGUCCGGAAGCGCAAUCUGGAUGCAUCAUUGCGCUAUGUACUUGGAAGUAGAAAGCGCAUGCCAAACAGUUCUUUUUUAGCUUAUACUAGAUGAGAAAGAAGUGAUCUUUGAGCAUUUGACAUUCUUGUGAUAUAUUUGAGCUCAGGAUUACUGAUGUUUUAUUGGUUCCAUCUUAACAUGCAGGAACUGUUGUUUCCUUUGGCUGAAAUAGGCAAAAGUCAUGUUUUCUUGCUCUAUUUCCUCUGCAUGGUUUACAGAGGCUUGCUAUGGUGCAUUUCUUUCGGCUUUCUGGUCGGCUCCACCAUUUUCAUGCUAUGGAACAAGCACGAUGGCAACAGGCAGCUCAUCGGAGCAUUUGAAGUCGCAACCCCUCCUUGGUAGCGAACCAUCCAGCAGCUCCUUGCUCUGUAGGAAGCUAUCUCGCAGCUUGAGAAGUGAUCAUUGAAGCCUCCCGCGCAGACCGGCAUCUAUUUCUUCUCUGACUAUGGUGUAGUCCUGGCGUUGGAGCUGCGAGUAAAAAACAAUAUUGGUGAAGACAGAGGAGGAUUAGAGUUUAGCAGAGGAUUCAUGGCCUGGAAAUUGGAGAACUAUAAGGCAAUGGAGCUCCUCAUGGAGGGAGAGCAUAUCUACAUGAAAGAAAAGAAAACCCUGAAAGGCCUGGCUGUUACAAGGCGAGGGGAGGGAACUUUGGAAUGCUCAAGCCUGGAGUGUUGGUUGUCAAGCUAAAGCUGCCGUCUCUACAUGGUGUGAUGAGAUGAUGGGUUGUCGAGGAAAAAUAGGGGGAAAUCCCAAUUUAAUUGAUCACCCCAUUGAGUCUUUGGUGUAAUCUUGUGCGUGCACACUACUUGUAUUGGAAACAGAAGUGGUGUGGUGUAGCAUUUACCCUUGGUGAUCCUUGCCUCCUUGAAGGGCAUCAAUCAUCGAGUGGUUGCGCUUGUCUUUUUCUUUGUUGGUUCGUUCAUGGGAAUCAGAAAUAUUGUGAACAGAAUUUAUGUAUAGGUUGAACAGAAUUAUCGUGUACCAUGUCCUUGGUAGAUGCAAUAAAAAGCCGGAAUAUUUUCCCUUUUAGAUGA